GAUGAACGCUGGCGGCGUGCCUAAUACAUGCAAGUCGAGCGAACGGACGAGAAGCUUGCUUUUCUGAUGUUAGCGGCGGACGGGUGAGUAACACGUGGAUAACCUACCUAUAAGACUGGGAUAACUUCGGGAAACCGGAGCUAAUACCGGAUAAUAUUUUGAACCGCAUGGUUCAAAAGUGAAAGACGGUCUUGCUGUCACUUAUAGAUGGAUCCGCGCUGCAUUAGCUGGUUGGUAAGGUAACGGCUUAUCAAGGCAACGAUGCAUAGCCGAACUGAGAGGGUGAUCGGCGACACUGGAGCGGAGACACGCUCCAGACUCCUACGGGAGGCAGCAGUAGGCAAUCUUACGCAAUGGGCGAAAGCCUGACGGAGCAACGCCGCGUGAGUGAUGAAGGUCUUCGGAUCGUAAAACUCUGUUAUUAGGGAAGAACAUAUGUGUAAGUAACUGUGCACAUCUUGACGGUACCUAAUCAGAAAGCCACGGCUAACUACGUG
rnacentral:rRNA from 1 species